AAUACAUGCAGUCGAGCGAACAGACGAGGAGCUUGCUCCUCUGACGUUAGCGGCGGACGGGUGAGUAACACGUGGAUAACCUACCUAUAAGACUGGGAUAACUUCGGGAAACCGGAGCUAAUACCGGAUAAUAUAUUGAACCGCAUGGKUCAAUAGUGAAAGACGGUUUUGCUGUCACUUAUAGAUGGAUCCGCGCCGCAUUAGCUAGUUGGUAAGGUAACGGCUUACCAAGGCAACGAUGCGUAGCCGACCUGAGAGGGUGAUCGGCCACACUGGAACUGAGACACGGUCCAGACUCCUACGGGAGGCAGCAGUAGGGAAUCUUCCGCAAUGGGCGAAAGCCUGACGGAGCAACGCCSCGUGAGUGAUGAAGGUCUUCSGAUYGUAAAACUCUGUUAUUAGGGAAGAACAAAUGUGUAAGUAACUAUGCACGUCUUGACGGUACCUAAUCAGAAAGCCACGGCUAACUACGUGCCAGCAGCCGCGGUAAUACGYAGGUGGCAAGCGUUAUCCGGAAUUAUUGGGCGUAAAGCGCGCGYAGGYGGUUUUUUAAGUCUGAUGUGAAAGCCCMCGGYUCAACCGUGGAGGGUCAUUGGAAACUGGAAAACUUGAGUGCAGAAGAGGAAAGUGGAAUUCCMUGUGUAGCGGUGAAAUGCGC
rnacentral:rRNA from 1 species